AGCUUGCUCCUUUGACGUUAGCGGCGGACGGGUGAGUAACACGUGGGUAACCUACCUAUAAGACUGGGAUAACUUCGGGAAACCGGAGCUAAUACCGGAUAAUAUUUCGAACCGCAUGGUUCGAUAGUGAAAGAUGGCUUUGCUAUCACUUAUAGAUGGACCUGCGCCGUAUUAGCUAGUUGGUAAGGUAACGGCUUACCAAGGCAACGAUACGUAGCCGACCUGAGAGGGUGAUCGGCCACACUGGAACUGAGACACGGUCCAGACUCCUACGGGAGGCAGCAGUAGGGAAUCUUCCGCAAUGGGCGAAAGCCUGACGGAGCAACGCCGCGUGAGUGAUGAAGGUCUUCGGAUCGUAAAACUCUGUUAUUAGGGAAGAACAAACGUGUAAGUAACUGUGCACGUCUUGACGGUACCUAAUCAGAAAGCCACGGCUAACUACGUGCCAGCAGCCGCGGUAAUACGUAGGUGGCAAGCGUUAUCCGGAAUUAUUGGGCGUAAAGCGCGCGUAGGCGGUUUUUUAAGUCUGAUGUGAAAGCCCACGGCUCAACCGUGGAGGGUCAUUGGAAACUGGAAAACUUGAGUGCAGAAGAGGAAAGUGGAAUUCCAUGUGUAGCGGUGAAAUGCGCAGAGAUAUGGAGGAACACCAGUGGCGAAGGCGACUUUCUGGUCUGUAACUGACGCUGAUGUGC
rnacentral:rRNA from 1 species